CUAUUUUUCUGAAUUACACGUUGUCUAGAUAUCUCAGUACUAGAAUAACUUUAGGUUGAGAUGCAUGCAAUGAUUAUCACAAGUACCAUUUCCAUUUCAGUAAUAUUUUCAUUCUUCUGAGUCACAUGUUGAAACUGAUUGGUGUCGGCAAGGUAAUAAUGUUUUCAGACAUCCCUCUGUACUAGACUCGAAAAUUUAGUUUACGUUGUAUACCUCUCUUAAUAUAUUUUUUGCAGCAGAUUAUUUUAGUCCAAUAAACAUUGAAUCUUACUUCUAUCCUAGGGGAACAGAAUGGAAGGAUGUGUGCCAGCUAAUUGUAUAGACCAAUUCAAGCCACAGCUAAAAAGAGAUUUAGCUUUCUACUAGAAGCACCAUUCUUCCGUUGGAGUUCCUCGCAUCACUAGGCUUAUGGUAGCUGAUACUGAAGUUCACAUACCGCUGGUCAUCCUCACUGAGCUCUCUUAAGUUCAUAUAUCUUAGAGUUUGAUAUUUGCUGAAACAUAUACAGUGCUUGGUGAGGUGUAGGUGUGUUAAUUUGCAUGUGCGAUUUUCCUUUUUUUCCUCUUGCACACUUACCAAGCCAUAAAAUUUGAAAUGGCUGGUGCUGAUGUGCAAGCACUAUCCGCGGUUUUCGCUGAAGUAUGUUGUAACUA